CCUACGGGGGACAGCAGUAGGGAAUUUUCGUCAAUGGGCGCAAGCCUGAACGAGCAAUGCCGCGUGAACGAGGAAGGUCUUCGGAUCGUAAAGUUCUGUUGAAGGGGAAAAAGAGCGGAGAGAGGAAAUGGUCUCCGAUUGAUAUUACCCUUCGAGGAAGUCACGGCUAACUACGUGCCAGCAGCCGCGGUAAUACGUAGGUGGCGAGCGUUAUCCGGAAUGAUUGGGCGUAAGGGGUGCGUAGGCGGCCUGCUAAGUCUGGAGUGAAAGGUACCGGCUCAAGCGGUAUAGGCUCUGGAAACUGGCGGGCUAGAGAGCAGGAGAGGGCGGUGGAACUCCAUGUGUAGCGGUAAAAUGCGUAGAUAUAUGGAAGAACACCAGUGGCGAAGGCGGCCGCCUGGCCUGUUACUGACGCUGAGGCACGAAAGCGUGGGGAGCAAAUAGGAUUAGAUACCCCGGUAGUC
rnacentral:rRNA from 1 species